rnacentral:rRNA from 1 species
GACGAACGCUGGCGGCGUGCUUAACACAUGCAAGUCGAACGGUGAAGCGCCUUCCUUUUUGGUGGGUGUGGAUGAGUGGCGAACGGGUGAGUAACACGUGAGUAACCUGCCCCCUUCUUCUGGAUAACCUCAUGAAAGUGUGGCUAAUACGGGAUAUUCUGGGUCUGUCGCAUGAUGGGUUCGUGGAAGAUAUUGUUUCGGUGGGGGAUGGGCUCGCGGCCUAUCAGCUUGUUGGUGGGGUGCUGGCCUACCAAGGCGGUGACGGGUAGCCGGCCUGAGAGGGUGAACGGCCACACUGGGGCUGAGACACGGCGAAGACUCCGACGGGAGGCAGCGGUGGAGAAUAUUGCACAAUGGGAGGAAGGCUGAUGCAGCAACGCCGCGUGGGAGAUGGAGGCCUUCGGGUUGUGAACCUCUUUCGCGAGUGAAGCGGGCCUGCCUCGUUUGUGGGUGGGUUGACGGUAGCUGGAUAAGAAGCACCGGCUAACUACGUG